rnacentral:rRNA from 1 species
AGUGAACGCUGGCGGUAGGCCUAACACAUGCAAGUCGAACGGCAGCACAGUAAGAGCUUGCUCUUACGGGUGGCGAGUGGCGGACGGGUGAGGAAUACAUCGGAAUCUACUUUUUCGUGGGGGAUAACGUAGGGAAACUUACGCUAAUACCGCAUACGACCUACGGGUGAAAGCAGGGGAUCUUCGGACCUUGCGCGAUUGAAUGAGCCGAUGUCGGAUUAGCUAGUUGGCGGGGUAAAGGCCCACCAAGGCGACGAUCCGUAGCUGGUCUGAGAGGAUGAUCAGCCACACUGGAACUGAGACACGGUCCAGACUCCUACGGGAGGCAGCAGUGGAGAAUAUUGGACAAUGGGCGCAAGCCUGAUCCAGCCAUACCGCGUAGGUGAAGAAGGCCUUCGGGUUGUAAAGCCCUUUUGUUGGGAAAGAAAAGCAGCAGGUUAAUACCCCGCUGUUCUGACGGUACCCAAAGAAUAAGCACCGGCUAACUUCGUG